AACCCAUUGUAAGCUUCAUCUGCAUCUGGCAUUGGUAAGUACCCUUAACACGAAAAGGCAGGCAGUGCAAAUCAGCAGCAAGAGCAGUGCUAUGUGUUAUCCAUGUGAACAAUACUUGAUAUGUUGCAAGAUUUAGGACAUUGUCAAAAAUUGUCCUAACAGGCGGAUUCCAGAAACCCAUUAGUACCCUUAACACGAAAAGGCAGGCAGAGCAAAUCAGCAGCAAGAGCAGUGCUAUGUCUUAUCCAUGUGAACAAUACAUGAUAUGUUGCAAGAUUUAGGACAUUGUCAAAAAUUGUGCUAACAGGCGGAUUCCAGAAACCCUUUGUAAGACGUCAUCUGCAUCUGGCAUUGGUAG